rnacentral:rRNA from 1 species
CCUACGGGUGGCAGCAGUGGGGAAUAUUGGACAAUGGGCGAAAGCCUGAUCCAGCCAUGCCGCGUGCGUGAAGAAGGCCUUCGGGUUGUAAAGCACUUUCAGUGGGGAAGAAAGCCUUGGGGCUAAUACCCUCGAGGAAGGACAUCACCCACAGAAGAAGCACCGGCUAACUCCGUGCCAGCAGCCGCGGUAAUACGGAGGGUGCGAGCGUUAAUCGGAAUUACUGGGCGUAAAGCGCGCGUAGGCGGUCUGAUAAGCCGGUUGUGAAAGCCCCGGGCUCAACCUGGGAACGGCAUCCGGAACUGUCAGGCUAGAGUGCAGGAGAGGAAGGUAGAAUUCCCGGUGUAGCGGUGAAAUGCGUAGAGAUCGGGAGGAAUACCAGUGGCGAAGGCGGCCUUCUGGACUGACACUGACGCUGAGGUGCGAAAGCGUGGGUAGCAAACAGGAUUAGAUACCCUGGUAGUC